GUCCUGCUCCAUCUCUAGUGGGAAAUGUCUCACCUUGGAGUAUAUGUGUUGCUGCUUCUACUAUUGAUCGAACAUUUCCUACACAGAUUGUUCUUGGCAGCGACUUCUCUGUUACGGGAGAAAGCUUCAUAACCACAGAGAUCAAAGGAAAAUUGGCAAACGCAAAGAUGUAUUUUACUGAUGGAAUUUGUAUGUUGGAGAAUUGGACAAAGAAAUCAGCGACAGGAAAGAUUAUUCUGUGCUUCUCCAAUAUAGGGCCAAUACCAUCAAGUGAAAUUGCACAGAAAGCAGUGAAGACAGCCAAUGGAUUAGCUUUGAUCUUUGUUGAACCUCCUACCAACCAGAUUGCUGAUGUAGAUAUCACCCCCACCGUUCGGGUUGACAUUAGCCAAGGCACUCAAAUUCAAUACUAUCUUGCACAGUUUCCUAAGCUCCCUGUGGUGAGGAUAUUACCAAGUAGAACUGUAAUUGGCAAGUCACCAGCUCCUGUAGUAGCACCCUUCUCUUCCAGAGGUCCAAGCUCCAUUUCACCUGACUUUCUCAAGCCAGACUUAACUGCUCCUGGAAUUAAUAUACUGGCAGCAUGGCCUCCAAAGACUCCUCCAACUCUGAUGCCAAGUGAUGACGACCGCUCCGUGAACUGGAAUUUCCAGUCAGGAACAUCAAUGUCUUGCCCUCAUGUGUCAGGAGUAGCUGCACUCAUUAAAUCUGCCCAUCCCCACUGGUCUCCAGCUGCCAUUAGAUCUGCUCUAAUGACCACUGCAUCCACAAGAGAUACGACCCUUGAUAGUAUUCUGGCUGGUGGAUCAAUGGAAGUUUCAGAUCCUUUUGACAUUGGUUCUGGCCACAUAAACCCAUUAAAAGCAAUGGAUCCAGGUCUAGUUUACGACAUGAAAACCAGAGACUACAUUAUCUUUCUCUGCAAUAUCGGCUACACCCAAGAACAAAUAAAGAAGAUGAUUCUUCCUUCUCCUGGAACUGACAUAACAUGCUGCUCUUACCUACCUAAAACCAACCUGAACAUAAACUACCCAUCAAUCACCGUCUCUAAUCUGCAAUCCUCUACUACGAUCAAGAGGACUGUUAGAAAUGUGGGUACAAAGAAGAAUGCUAUAUACUUUGGUAGGAUUGUUAAGCCUAAUGGAGUGGAGGUAGUGGUCUGGCCUAGGGUUCUUAUUUUCUCAUGCUUCAAGGAGGAAUUCUCAUACUAUGUGACACUCAAGCCAUUGAAGAAAUCUCAAGGGAGAUAUGAUUUUGGAGUGAUAGUGUGGUCAGAUGGAUUCCAUUACGUAAGGAGUCCAUUGGUUGUGGUAGUGAACACUAUUGGUGGUGAUGAUUCUGCUAUUGUCUCAAGCAUUUAAAGGUCUUCUUAAUGCUUAUUGAUCAACUUAAUUUGAGUGUUAUAUAUGUAAG
rnacentral:misc_RNA from 1 species